CUCUUGGGGUAAUUUUGGUUGUUGUUGAUGUAGUGCAACGGGCCUGUUCAUGAAGUACACUGGCUCCGCGGCGAGCAGUGGAGAGGACACGGGUGUGCAGUUCCCCGUCCCCGUAGUUGUCCCCUGAACCUGUAGAAGCCCAUCUUGUAUGUGAGCAUAUGGCUAGAAACAUUGCGGUGUGGUUUCGGUGGUCGUCCACGUGCACUUUGUUUGGGGGGCAGUACGUAUGUUCUUUGUGGAUGUGCACUUCAUUCGGGCCGAGCUUCGUGAAGCUCAGUUUGCACUCCAUCGGAUCUGGGCUCCUGAUGCGGUGGUGCGCACUGAGAUGGUCGGGGAUGCUCGAGGCUGGAUCCAGGCGUCCCGGUGCCUCGCCGGAGGAGGCAAGAAAGAGAUCCCGUCGCUGGCCGCCUAGCUUGCCGGAGGAUGAGGUCAGGAAACGGUGGCUGAGGUGGAGCAGCUCCUUCCCACCUAAUGAACAGUUCCAGCAGCAUUCCAGGCCGCAUCCACCACGGCGGCUAACCCCCCAUGCGCAUUGUUUUUGUGUUUUCUAUAGAUAAAUCUAAGUGCAAAUUGCAGCCCGCUGUUGUUAGUUAUUGAGGUUCACUUUACUCAUUUUUGCAGGAAGAAAUGUGGUGCACUUCGGUUGGACGCCGCAUUGCUUCCUCCCCCUUCUCCCCCUGCUUCCUCUGCUCGCCGGCCGGUCGAUCUCCACUUGUAGUGCACACGGGCGCCCCUUUGUAGUGCACACGAGCGAUUGUACGACACAUCUCCAAAAAUGAUGCUACAACCCGCAAGCCCUGCAUCCCCGCCUCCCUACAGUUUACCUUUUUUAGAAAGAGAAAAAACGAAGUGCGAGAUGAAGUCAACUGUGGUUUGAAUGCAAUCGGUGUGGAUGCCCUUUACCCAAAAUUGGUGGAUGAAGUUCACUGUUUUUGUGUUUUUCAGUAGAGAAAUCAAAGUAGAAAAUGCAAUCCACUAUUCUUCUUGCUCUUGGGGAUCAUUUGACGUUUUUUUGCAGGAAAAAUGGGUGGUGCAGUUCGGUUCGAUGCCCCGUUGCUCAAAGUUUUUUUUGUUGAUAGCUGCAGCUCAUUGUAAAAGAACACUGAAUGCCAUUUGGUGCAGUCUGUAAAAGAACUCUAAAUGUCAUUUGGUGCAAUUCAUUGUUAUAAAAAUGCGUGUGGUUAAACUCAGAAAGAAAGAUGUGGUUCAAUGCUCUCAACUCUUGGGGGAUCCAGCCCACAUGAAGUGCACUACUGUUGUAUCGCAGUCCAAUUCCCCCUUAAUAUACAUUGGACAUGGGAAAUAAAAAUUUGUUUCGAGAGGUUCACUUUUGUCCAACAAGUUCAGUUUUAUUGUGUGGAGAGGUUCUCUCCACUGUACUAUACAUGUCUUUUUCUUUUUUUGGAGAGGUCACUUCAUUGUACUAUGCAUUUCUUUUUGUUUAGAAAAAUAACAAAAAGAAUCGUUUGCAGUCCUCUCUCAUGACAUUGCAGUGCGCUUUCCCGUGUGAUGAAGCACACUAACAUUGAUAAUAUGGUACACUUGCGCCUAUGAAAAAAAUUAAAAAAUUAUAAGGUUCACUUCGCAAAACAUGUAGCUCCUCUAGUGUGCACUUGGGGUUCGCCGGCUAAUGAUGCAUGUCGUGCGUUUUGCCGGUGACCAUACUGCAGUCCCUCAUCGCUGACGUGAGUUGUUUUGCAGCUCACUCUUUUUUUCUUCUAGAAAUCAUUUGCAGUGCACUCAGUAAGAAAAGAGAAGAGAACAUUAAUGUUCAUUUGAAGUCCAUUUUGUUGUUUAUGAGGAACGCAAAGAGAAAGACUAGUAAGAAUGGAUGGUCAAUUUGUAUAGUUUUUGCCCUAGUGUAGUUCGGUUGGGUACUUGUGUUGUUGAUUCUGCUGUGUACCGGAUGGUUGCGUGGCUAUGUGAAAAUAAUGAGUGGACAUGUAUGUUUUGAAGCUCACUUUAUUCUGUCACGCAGUUCGCUAUAAAACUCCUUUGAGGUUCACUUGGUACUCCGAAACAAAACACCUUCAGAAGAAGCUCGCUACUCAUUGCAUGCAGUGUGUUUGGUCCUCAGAUGUGGUUCACUUUUGAGAGUGAUGCUGCUCACUUGCACAAAGCGUGGAAGUGUGAAAAAAAUUAGCGAAACAAAAAAUAGUAAUGCGGUUCACUUCCAUGUAUGUUGUGGUUCAUUUGCACUCGUCUCUACAGUCCACUCUGGUUCAUAAAAAAUGUUUUUAAAAAAGGAAAACAAAAACUCGUUCGAGAUAAAUUACGUCCAACAAAAAAAAUUCAUGAAGUUCGCUUGACUGUCUGAUGGAGUGCGGUUUUCCAUCCGAAGCAGUGCGUUCUUCUGUCGUUCACAAAAGCUUAUCUGAGAAAAUUUACGCCCGACAAGAAAAUCAUGAAGUUCGCUUGACUCUCUGAUGCAGUGCGGUUUUCCGUCCGAAGCAGUGCGUUCUUCUGUAUUUCAUAAAAAAAUGACAACAAAAACUCACAAAAAGCUCAUCUGAGAAAAUUUACGCCCGACAAGACAAAUCAUGAAGUUUGCUCGACUGUCUGAUGCAGUGCGGCUUUCCGUCCAAAGUAGUGCGUUCUUUUGUCGUUCAUAAAAAAAUGACAACAAAAACUCACAAAAAAGCUCAUCUAAGAAAAUUUACGCCCGAUAAGACAAAUCAUGAAGUUCGCUUGACUGUCUGAUGCAGUGCAGUUUCUGUCCGAAGCAGUGCGUUCUUCUGUCUGAUGCAGUACACACGUCGGUUUUGGUGUCGCGAAAAACAGAGUAUCCGCAUUUUAGUAAUUUUAAAAUUGCCCUUAAACCGUAAGGAAUUAGAGAGCGUUUUCUACAUGAAAAAAAUGCGCCUCGUCGAUAUCUUUCCGACGAUGUAUCAUUUGCAUCAUUUCGCCGAGCGGUUUGAAAAAAUGUACGAAAAAACGGCCGUUGUCACUCGUCAUUCGCCGCACGAUUUUCAAAAUUCACUUAAAACCGUAAGGAAUCUCAAAAACAUUUCAACAUAUGAAAGUUGUGCCUCGUCCGUAGCUUUCCAACGGCGUAUCACACGCCUUGUUUCGACAAACGGUUCAAAAACUAGAGCAGAAACGGUACCAAAUUUGAUUUUUUUUUAAAACAGAGUUCCGCGAUUUAGUAAAUUUGAAACUGCCCUUAAACCGUAACGAAUUAGAGAAAAUAAUAGAUAUAAAAAAGAUGCGCCUAGAUGAUAUCUUUUCAACGGUGUAUCAUUUGUUUCAUUCCGACGAGCGGUUUAGAAAUAAAGUGAAAAAACGCUCGCUGCCACACGUCGUAUGCCGCACCAUUUUCAAAACUGCUCUUAAUCCGUGAGGCUUGAAAAGAGCUCAACAUGGCAAAGUAGCGCCUAAUUCGUAGCUUUUCAACGGUAUAUUACACGCCUAGUUCCGAUAAACGGUUAAAAACUAGAGCAAAAAAGUACCAAAAAAAUAGAGCGUGCAGUUUUUUUUGCGGCGAGAAGUUCACUCGCGUGAGUACUGCAGCACACUUGGUUCAAACAAUGAUGUGCACUUGCGUUGAGCGUGCAGUGCGGAAGUAUUAUCAGAAUAGUUAUUCUGCUAAUAUUAGCAGAAUAGACCGGCUAUAUAUAUAUAGGGUGGGUCUAUUCUAAUAACACCCCUUAAGACCUUAUUCUAAUAACACUUCCUCUUAUUCUGAUAACACCCAUACGCCCACCCGAACAGAACAAAAACAAAUAGCCCACCCCACCCACGCGCACCCCACUCCCCACCUUUUCCUCGAUCCCCCACCCCACCUUCUCCCCGCACCGGUGCCUCCCAGCAAGCCAUCGCCCCGGCCAUGACUCCCCCGGCGCGGCGCCCCCCACCUUCUCCCCANNNNNNNNNNNNNNNNNNNNNNNNNNNNNNNNNNNNNNNNNNNNNNNNNNNNNNNNNNNNNNNNNNNNNNNNNNNNNNNNNNNNNNNNNNNNNNNNNNNNNNNNNNNNNNNNNNNNNNNNNNNNNNNNNNNNNNNNNNNNNNNNNNNNNNNNNNNNNNNNNNNNNNNNNNNNNNNNNNNNNNNNNNNNNNNNNNNNNNNNNNNNNNNNNNNNNNNNNNNNNNNGGUCACAACCUCACACGGUGCCGCCCCCACGCAGCGCGUAGGUAGUCGACCGCUGUCGUGCCACCCUUCAGCAGGUCACCGUCCUGCCGCCUCUCCCCAUGCCGGCAGCACGCACCUGCCCGCGAGCACCAUCGGGGUCAAAGCACCGCUAUCCCCUGCCGCCCUGGUGGCCUCCUUCUAGGCCGCGACAACCGGAUCCAGCCUCCCCUGCCCCUGCAUCCUCUUGUUGCAUCACAGUGGCCGGAUCGAAGUAGCCCCCGCGGAUCCGACGUGGAUUCACCGUCGCUGUCAGCGGCUGCUUUGGAUCUAGGGAGUCCUGCCGCCUCCGAUGCAGGUUGCCGCCGGAUGCCCCUGCCUCCUACUUUGGCGAAUCGCUGCUUCAGGGAGCCCCGAUGCGCCAACCACCCCAAUGCACCAGCCUCCCCUGCUUUCUCCCCAAUGACGAACAGGCAACCACGCCAUUGUUUGAGAUUGUUGCAGUUCAUUUUUUAUUUUUGGAGGAAAAUCAGUGCACUGCAGUUUGUUGUUCCCGUCGAUGAGAUUUGUGUAUUUUGUGUUCUUCUGAAGACAAAUAAAAUUGCAAAUGCAGUCCACUGUACUUUUGCUCUUGUGGUUCAUUUUACUCUCUCUUUUUUUGUAGAAAAGAUAGGUGAUGCAGUCCGCCGGCCUCCUCCCACGACGAAUUUGGGCGACGCACGGGCUCCUACCCCUUUGGGUGUUUUGCAGGUGAAUAUUGUAAUGCCGGCCGGAAGGGCACUGCUGCUGGGUGCCCGUGGAUCAGGGGCGGCUGCCGUGCAGUACGCAUCAACAAUAGGCGUAGCAACCGUUCCACUCUCCUCUUGGGGUAAUUUUGGUUGUUGUUGAUGAAGUGCAACGGGCCUGUUCAUGAAGUACACUGGCUCCGCAGUGAGCAGUGGAGAGGACACGGGUGUGCAGUUCCCCGUCCCCGUAGUUGUCCCCUGAACCUGUAGAAGCCCAUCUUGUAUGUGAGCAUAUGGCUAGAAACAUUGCGGUGUGGUUUCGGUGGUCGUCCAUGUGCACUUUGUUUGGGGGCAGUACGUAUGUUCUUUGUGGAUGUGCACUUCAUUCGGGCCGAGCUGCAUGAAGCUCAGUUUGCGCGCGUGUGCGGCUCGGCUACCUAUUUCGUGCAGUCGACUACAUCAAUACUUGAAGUGUGUUUGGU
rnacentral:lncRNA from 1 species